UAGUCCACGCCGUAAACGAUGAUCACUCGUCAUUGGCGAUACACUGUCAGUGACCAAGCGAAAGUGUUAAGUGAUCCACCUGGGGAGUACGGUCGCAAGAUUGAAACUCAAAGGAAUUGACGGGGGCCCGCACAAGCGGUGGAGCAUGUGGUUUAAUUCGAUGAUACGCGAGGAACCUUACCAGGGCUUAAAUGCAUAUUGACAGAUUGGGAAACCAGUCCUUCUUCGGACAAUUUGCAAGGUGCUGCAUGGUUGUCGUCAGCUCGUGCCGUGAGGUGUCGGGUUAAGUCCCAUAACGAGCGCAACCCCUACCCUUAGUUGCCAGCGGAUAAUGCCGGGGACUCUGAGGGAACUGCCGGUGCAAACCGUGAGGAAGGUGGGGAUGACGUCAAAUCAUCACGGCCCUUACGUCCUGGGCUACACACGUGCUACAAUGGUUAGGACAAAGAGUCGCCAACUUGCAAAAGUGAGCUAAUCUCGUAAACCUAAUCUCAGUUCGGAUCGCAGG
rnacentral:rRNA from 1 species